GCGAGGGUAUCUAAGCCAGGCCAACAGAGCGGGACUUAAGAUCCCGUGGGCAGACCUUCGUGGGUUCGAAUCCCACCCCUCGCA
rnacentral:tRNA from 1 species